rnacentral:lncRNA from 1 species
UUGAUGCCAAUCACCUCACUGCCUUGCUAAUUAGAACCUAAAAGGUUGUUCGCCAAUACACUAUUGUAGUGAGUAACUAAUGGAUGAUGGAAACAAUUAAUUGGAUUAAUCAUGUGUUGUGAUUAAUUUAGAAAAGUCUAAAGAAAUCAUAAAAGCGAUAAAGAUCGUUUUGGGCUUAAAGAAACGUUCGGGUUUAAUUAGGCCCAUUGGGCCUAAACCCAUUGGGCUUUUAUUCAAGCAUUGGAUGACUUGAAAUAAUAAAAGCCCAAAGCCCAAAAACAACACAAAGGGGCCGGCCACUUUAGGUGAGGAAAGGUGAGAUAUUUAGUCAAGUUGUUGAUUAGGUUUCUUUUUGUCUAUAUAAAGAACUUUAUAGAGAUAAAGUUCAUUAGGGUUUUUUGUGAGUUUUGAACAACAAAAGAGGCAAAAGAAAAUAGCUCUCUUGAACCACAAAGGCCGGCCACCAUAAGGGGGUUUUUUACUAACAUCUCUUACACCCUUUGGUUAUUCCUUCAUCCUUCUCACUACACUAGUGGGGUGAGGAUCUUUAGAGGUUUCCUACUUUGGGAACUUGAAGAGAACCUAGGAGCACUCAUUGUAACAAAGUGGAGGAGGCAAGGAGGGAAGCUAGGCUCAAGGAUUUCAAGGAGCAAAGGGCUUGGAGGUGGUCCAUCCUUGGUCUCAAGUCUAGAUCAAGAGGUAUAAGACUAACCUUCACUUUGUUCUUGAUUCUAAAAAUUGUUUUGAUGCAUUAUAUAUAAACCUAUGAACCUUGAAGGGGAUUUGCAUGACUAUAGCUUUGAUAAUAUGUUAUAAAUGCUUCCGCUGCUUUCGCAUAUUAAAUUUGAUUUGUAUAUGCAUGAUAGUCAUUAUGAAAUCCCAUUCUAGAAUCUCAUAAUUUUCCCUUCAAGUGGUAUCAGAGCCAAAGGUUUAUGUAUAAUGUGUCCUUUUGGAUUUUAUGCAUAUGGGUAUUAAUGUUAUGUAUGACAUAUUAUUGUUUCAUUCAAAGUAUGUUUAUCUUUUGUUUUUCAAUAGUUGAAAAAUGUUAGUCAAAAGUUGAGAAAGAUAUGUAUGCAAAAGAUGUUUUGUAUGCAUGAAUGAAAAAUGAGUUUAGAACUAGUUUGACAAAUUAUUUCUUCAUUUAAAAGUAUGUUUGUCUUUUGUUUUUCAAUGGUUGAAAAAAUAUAAAUCAAGAGUUGAAAAAGAUAUGCAUGUAAAAAGGUGUUUUAGAUGCAUGAAUGAAGAAUAAGUCAUGAACAAAAUUAAGGGUUUUGAACCAAAGGGAUGGCACGGUUUUGGGGGUGGUUUUGGGUUGUGUUUGUGUUUUAUUGUAAACCACUCUCACAUCCUUUUAAAGCUAGAAAGAAGAAACCUUGUCACUUUUGCUUUUGGGUUUGAAAAAUCACCAAGAAUGUACAAAUCUUGAAAUUGUGUUCAUGGUUUUGUUCUUGGUGUUCAUAGUUUGGUUUUGGGUGAAAAUGUUUUUAGUUGGUUUUCAUGCAUGGUUUCAUGGUUUUAGGUGAUGUUCUUACCAUCCAUAACCAUAUUAAAACCUUUUAAAACCCUAGACUUGACUAGGAGGAUUUCCAUCACCCAUCUCACCUAAGUUUUAAUGGCAAAACCAAGUGACAAGCAAAUUUUAAAUUUUUCUUACAUAAUGUGGCUUUUAAUGCAUGUUGUGUAAGAUUGUGUAAGAGACCUCCCAUCCCCUUAAUGUGGCCGGCCUCCCUAGUGGAUUUAUCCACUUGUGGGGCUAUUUUGUAAUCUUUGAAAAGUUGAUAUUUACUUUAAAAUAUUUACGGUUUACCCCUAACUUUUCAUAUUUACAUUUAGGCCCCUACUAACUAGAAAGUUAAAAUAUUUGAUUUUAAUUUUGUUAGUUGUUUAAACUCAUAAUUAUAUUAUGCCCAUAUGCACUAAAUCUAAAUGUUUAUGUUGCAUUCCAUGAUGAUUAUUUAAAUGUGUUUAAGUAGUUAUAAAAUGGGUGACUAUGGACUUAUGCCUUAAACGAUAAUUGAGCUAUGAGAUAAGGCACUAAAAUCAAAUUGUUUGAACCUUGGGAAUGUGUUUUAAUUACUGUUUAAUUGGACCUUGUCACGUUUGACGUUAAUCUUUCUCUCCCCCUUUAGUAUAUGUAAUUUAUAGGAAUUUGUACAAAUCGGUUUGUAAUUCUUAUUACUUCUUAAUCUCUAUUUGUUAGUGGAUUCCCUCUAGUGCUAGACUAGAGUUUCUUUAACUAUUGGUAAAGGAGACAUAACUAAAAGUGGGUUUUGACAUGAGAUUAAAGAUUAAAAAGGGUCCAAUGCCCUAAUUAGCAAUGAAUGAUUGUCUUUCAUUUCUAAUGGCUCAAUGAAAAUGGUUUUAAUUGGAUUGAUAAGCACGUAAUUAAAUUGACACAAUCUCCCCGAGUUUAUAUUCAACAAUGAUGGCUCGUUGUUGCAAUAACCUAAUAAGUCCAUGGUCAUCCAAGAGCCUAAGAUAACUAUAAAGUUCAAAUUCAAAGGAAUGCAAAAACCGUAGUAGUAGUAGUUACUUCCAAUAUUUGAAAAAUUUGUUUUUGAUAUUGAUUUGUUUUUUUUAAAACAAAUAGUGGGAGUAUCAUACGCUACUAAACUAUAAUGAAUACAAUUAGUAGUCAUAUAUAUCUCCAACAUUGUGAAAAAUGUUUUGAUAUUGAUUUGUUUUAUGAAAACGAAUAGUGGGGAUAUUAUAUGCUACUAAAUUCAUUAACUUUGGACUAAUAGUUAUAAUAGGACAAUUUAUUGGAAUAUGAUUAAAUAAAUAAAAUUGAUGAGACCUUAAAAUCCCUCAACCAAACAAUAUUAAGUUGUAAGCGUAAGAGUGCUUAGAACACUUUUUCGUGGCCUUCCACCGUGGUAGGCUCCAAGCGUUUAUGACUUGUACACCGCCUUCACCCUAUCAUGGGGAAGUGACAAAGUGCAUGCUUAUAUUCAGGAGGAGUUUAUUUAAAACAUUUGAUGAGGUUAAGGUAGGCAACGAGUGUAGCCGACAUCGUAUCAUCGUGAGUUCAUGCUUGAACCCCUUCCUAAACCGGCAUGGUGGGACAAAACUUAACUAAGAGAAAAGGUGCCAACAUCGUAUCAUCGUGAGGUAUUUUUCUCUAGAGGCCAAAAAGAUGGGUAAUCACAAGAGGUUGUUGUGAAUGGGUACUUGUACCCUCUCAUUAUUAUUGUUGCUAGCCGACAUCGUAUCAUCGUGAGGUGGGCUUGGUAAUAGUGAGCCUCCCGUAACCCACUAGGAGUUUUCUUUGAAAUCUCCCGGAUUCCAUCUUGAGGGAUAUGGAAUUUGCCAAAAAUGGUGGGUGGUGUCAUUCGGUUUAAAGACCCAAAUCGUUUGACUUAAUCAACAAUCAAUCUAAUUAUUUUAUUUGUUUAUGUAUAUAGAUAUGGUUGGAAGCACACUCGCGAAAAUACUCGACAAACAUUGCCUAGAGGGGCACAAUUUCCCAUCAUGGUAUCGUAAUGUCAAGAUUCUCCUAACCUUGGAGAAGAUUGUUUACGUACUAGACAAGGCUCCACCUCACAUACCUCUUGGCCCUGACGCCACUGAGGAUGAACGUGCUAAGUAUGACAAGCACGUUGAGGAUGAUACACAAGCCAAGUGCUAUCUGUUGGCUUCCAUGAAUGAGGAGCUACAGAGACAGCACGAGGGCAUGGACAGUGCAUCUUCCAUAAUACUCCAUCUUACGGAGUUAUAUGGUGAAGGGACGCGCAACCGUCGCUUUAGCACUGUCUGUGAACUUGUGAAGACCAAAAUGGUCAAGGGGGCUCCAGUGCAUCAACAUGUACUGAAGAUGAUAGGAUUCAUUGAACAAUUGGAGAACCUUGGUACUCCACUUGACGGGGAAUUGGCCCAGGACUUCAUAUUGGCUUCUCUUUCUGAUUCAUUCUCGCAGUUCGUAAUGAACUACACAUGAAUAAGAUGGAUAGUACUCUUUCCGAGUUACUAAACAUGUUAGUAACUGCCGAGAAGACUAUGAAGAAAGAGAACGUUGUAGGGACUGCUGCAGUAGCCUACAAUAAGCCAUCCUCUUCCAAGGCCAAGCCGCAAGGCAAAGGCAAAGGGAAGGAGAAGAAGUCCCCCACUCCUAAGCCGAAAGGAGGAGUGAGGAAAAAGAAGGCAAAGGAGCCCAAAGGGACUUGCCACCACUGUGGAAAGGAGGGGCAUUGGAAGAGGAAUUGCAGGUUAUACCUUGCAACUCUUAAAGACAAGCCACAAGGUAUGGUUUAUGUUCUUAUCUUCAAUUCUAAAUGUUAGAUCUUCUAAAUAUUUAUAUUUGAUAUAAAGUGCUAAUCACUUGUAUAAUUGUAUAUAGGUGGAGAAGCCAAGUAGAAGAAGAACAAGCAAGAAAAUGUGGUGAAGGGUUCGGCCACUAUGAUUUUUGCUAGGCAUUUAAAGAUUGUCUUUAAACUUUCUUAUUUUGGUAAGAACUAAUUAUAUGGCUUCAUUUGAUGGAAGGCCACUAUUAGUGACUAAAUGUAUAAAGGCAUUUAUGUUAGUCUCUAAAUGUAUAGAGCUAAUACCUUUUGUAUUAAAGAUUAUGAAUGUUUGAACUAUCAUAUUAAUGUAAUGUGAAGUAUGCCUUUUUAAUAUACUAUUUCCUUAAAGUAGUGUUAUGAAUUGAAAAUUGUCUUGUUGUAUCCUAGAUGAGAUACAAAAGUUAUAUCACUUAAUUGUAAUGUGAUAAACCAAACUUUAGAUUUAUCAAUUAUGGAUAGAUCUCACAUGUAGGACAUAAAAGGAUACAAUGAAUCUUUAGAUUUGGUUCCAUUUGUCUACUUAUGAGUUCUAUAUGAAUUGACAAAAGUCUAGAGAUUCCUUUCUUGAAGAAAAGGAAGAUCACAUUAUAAUGAUAUAAGUAAUAAGAAAAUUGUUUCUUAUAUAGUUAUCACAUGAAACACAAUGAUCAAGAUCACUCUUGAUUCAAUUAGUAGUUUUGAACAAUUAAUUGGGCAUUCUUAAAAUUGUUUUUAAAAUGUCAAUUGUGUUAGUGACUAAACCAAGAAAGAAGUGUCUAAAUCUAUAAAAAGGUUUAAAGACUUUAGUCACUUAAAUAACAAGACAUUAAACUUAGUGAAGAUUGAAACAAAUAAGCUUGAAAUGUUUCAAAGCUACUACACAAUGUCUUCUACCAAUAUAAUCCACUUUUAUACAUUUUGAAUGUAUGAAAUAAUUUCUCAUUAAAGUCAUGAGAAAUAGUGGGAGGUAUGAAAAUGGAUAUAAACUUGAAUGUGAUUGGUUUAUAGUUGUCUAAAGAAUAAUAGUACUUGACUAUUAUUAAGAGUUUGUAAUUUUAAAUGUUAAAAGGACUCAAGCUCUUCAAAACGUUAAAAUUCUAUGUUGUGUAACAUUUAAAGAAUAGUCUUUGAAUGUUGGUUUCGUCAACCUAGCAUAAAAUGGUUAUAUGUUGGGAGUUGUCCAUCAUUCUCUUUUAUGAGAACAUGCUAAUAACAAAGCAUAUGGACAAGUUGAUGAAACAAAAGGGAAUAAGUUUCAAAAUGAGUCACAACAUAUGGUUUAACAACAAGACAAUCCAAAUUCAACAUCUCAUGUAACGAUAUUGCUCUAUGUAGUUUUGAUAGAGAAUUAUCAACCACAUAGAAGGAAUGGUUGAGAAUCUAUAUCCUUAGUAGGACCCAUGCUUCCACUAAAGACUUAGAUAAUUCUUAUAUGACUACAUUAAAGGUCUUAGUAUGACUGAAACUUGUAGUAUGGUGUAUGACAUCGUACAAUUAAAUGAAUAGACUUGAUAAAAUGUAGUCGUCAAAGAAGAAAGGUAGUCGUCAAAGAAGAAAGGUGAAUUCUUCUAGAUGAUUAAAUGUAGUCGUCAAAGAAGAAAGGUGAAUUCUUCUAGCUUGUGGUUAGAUGUCACUCAUAGCUUGUGAGUUCUUCUAGAUGAUUAAAUGUAGUCGUCAAAGAAGAAAGGUGAAUUAAAAUGAAGUUUUAAUUCACUAAGUGAUUGAAUUAAAUAUGAGCAAUUGGAUUGAUGCCAAUCACCUCACUGCCUUGCUAAUUAGAACCUAAAAGGUUGUUCGCCAAUACACUAUUGUAGUGAGUAACUAAUGGAUGAUGGAAACAAUUAAUUGGAUUAAUUAUGUGUUGUGAUUAAUUUAGAAAAGUCUAAAGAAAUCAUAAAAGCGAUAAAGAUCGUUUUGGGCUUAAAGAAACGUUCGGGUUUAAUUAGGCCCAUUGGGCCUAAACCCAUUGGGCUUUUAUUCAAGCAUUGGAUGACUUGAAAUAAUAAAAGCCCAAAGCCCAAAAACAACACAAAGGGGCCGGCCACUUUAGGUGAGGAAAGGUGAGAUAUUUAGUCAAGUUGUUGACUAGGUUUCUUUUGUCUAUAUAAAGAACUUUAUAGAGAUAAAGUUCAUUAGGGUUUUUGUGAGUUUUGAACAACAAAAGAGGCAAAAGAAAAUAGCUCUCUUGAACCACAAAGGCCGGCCACCAUAAGGGGGUUUUUACUAACAUCUCUUACACCCCUUUGGUUAUUCCUUCAUCCUUCUCACUACACUAGUGGGUGAGGAUCUUUAGAGGUUUCCUACUUUGGGAACUUG